rnacentral:rRNA from 1 species
UACGAAGGGGGCUAGCGUUGCUCGGAAUCACUGGGCGUAAAGGGCGCGUAGGCGGCCGAUUAAGUCGGGGGUGAAAGCCUGUGGCUCAACCACAGAAUUGCCUUCGAUACUGGUUGGCUUGAGACCGGAAGAGGACAGCGGAACUGCGAGUGUAGAGGUGAAAUGCGUAGAGACCCGGAGGAACACCAGUGGCGAAGGCGGCUUCCUGGUCUGCGACUGACGCUGUGGCGCGAAAGCUAGGGGAGCAAACGGG